AUUGAACGCUGGCGGCAGGCCUAACACAUGCAAGUCGAGCGGAGCGGCGGACGGGUGAGUAAUGCCUAGGAAUCUGCCUGUUAGUGGGGGAUAACGUCCCGAACCGGGCGCUAAUACCGCAUACUAUCAGAUUAGCCUAGGUCGGAUUAGCUAGUUGGUGGGGUAAAGGCCUACCAAGGCGACGAUCCGUAACUGGUCUGAGAGGAUGAUCAGUAACAAUGGAACUGAGAAACGGUCCAGGCGCCUAGGGGAGGCACCAGGGGGGAAUAUUGGAAAAUGGGAGAAAGCCUGAUCCAGCAAUGCCGGGGUGGUGAAGAAGGUCUUCGGUUUGUAAAGACCUUAAGGGGGGGAGGCGUUACCAACAGAAUAAGCACCGGCUAACUUCGUGCCAGCAGCCGCGGUAAUUC
rnacentral:rRNA from 1 species